CAUGGUUUUCUACGGUUUAAAAUGGAAUUUAGAAUUAAAUUAUAAGAAAUGACUGUAAUAUUUUUUCUGUCUAUUCGAAAUAACAUAAAAAAUGUGGUGCACACUGUUAAAUAACCCGCUACGCGCAUUAUUCAGUGUGCACCAAAUUUUUUAUGUUAUUUCUUCAUAGACAGAAAAAAUAUUACAGUCAUUCCUUAAAUAAUUUA
rnacentral:lncRNA from 1 species